GAUCAUGGCUCAGGAUGAACGCUAGCGGCAGGCUUAAUACAUGCAAGUCAAGGGGUAGCAAUACAACCGGCGCACGGGUGAGUAACGCGUACACAACAUACCAUAUACUGGAGUAUAGCUUUGGGAAACUGAAGGUAAUCCUCCAUAACAUUGCGAGAGGGCAUCUGAUUGCAAUUAAAGUUCCGGCGGUAUAUGAUUGGUGUGCGUUUGAUUAGCUAGUUGGUAGGGUAACGGCCUACCAAGGCGACGAUCAAUAGCUGGCGUGAGAGCGCGACCAGCCACACUGGAACUGAGACACGGUCCAGACUCCUACGGGAGGCAGCAGUAGGGAAUAUUGGACAAUGGGCGAAAGCCUGAUCCAGCCAUGCCGCGUGAUAGAUGAAGGCCCUCUGGGUUGUAAAUAUCUUUUAUCUGGGAAGAAACUCCUCUAUUCUUAGAGGCCUGACGGUACCAGAGGAAUAAGCACCGGCUAACUCCGUG
rnacentral:rRNA from 1 species